rnacentral:rRNA from 1 species
GAUGAACGCUGGCGGCGUGCCUAAUACAUGCAAGUCGAGCGAAUGGAUUAAGAGCUUGCUCUUAUGAAGUUAGCGGCGGACGGGUGAGUAACACGUGGGUAACCUGCCCAUAAGACUGGGAUAACUCCGGGAAACCGGGGCUAAUACCGGAUAACAUUUUGAACCGCAUGGUUCGAAAUUGAAAGGCGGCUUCGGCUGUCACUUAUGGAUGGACCCGCGUCGCAUUAGCUAGUUGGUGAGGUAACGGCUCACCAAGGCAACGAUGCGUAGCCGACCUGAGAGGGUGAUCGGCCACACUGGGACUGAGACAUGGCCCCGACUCCUACGGGAGGCAGCAGUAGGGAAUCUUCCGCAAUGGACGAAAGUCUGACGGAGCAACGCCGCGUGAGUGAUGAAGGCUUUCGGGUCGUAAAACUCUGUUGUUAGGGAAGAACAAGUGCUAGUUGAAUAAGCUGACACCUUGACGGUACCUAACCAGAAAGCCACGGCUAACUACGUGCCAGCCGCCGCGGUAA